AGAGCGCGUGUGGCCGCCGAGCACAUGGGCCCGCGGGCCGGUCGGGCUUGGGGCGGCCCGGACGAGGAGGGGCGGCAAGGAGCCGCGAGCAAGGAUGGGCCCUGGCACCGCGGAACCCCCCAAGCGGAUUUCCACGCGGAAAAGAUGUUGACGGCCCCAGUGACCUGUGGAGAUAGGCUCGAUCCACCCUCCA
rnacentral:lncRNA from 1 species